AUUGAACGCUGGCGGCAGGCCUAACACAUGCAAGUCGAACGCGUGGCGGACGGGUGAGUAAUGUCUGGGAAACUGCCUGAUGGAGGGGGAUAACUACUGGAAACGGUAGCUAAUACCGCAUACCAUCGGAUGUGCCCAGAUGGGAUUAGCUAGUGGGUGGGGUAAAGGCUCACCUAGGCGACGAGCCCUAGCUGGCUGGAGAGGAUUACAAGCCACACUGGAACUGAGACCCGGCCCAGACUCCUACGGGAGGCAGCAGUGGGGAAGAUUGCACAAUGGUGGAAAGCCUGAUGCAGCCAUGCCGCGUGUAUGAAGAAGGCCUUCGGGUUGUAAAGUACUUUCAGCGGGGAGGCGUUACCCGCAGAAGAAGCACCGGCUAACUCCGUGCCAGCAGCCGCGGUAAUAC
rnacentral:rRNA from 1 species